rnacentral:rRNA from 1 species
UACAGAGGGUGCAAGCGUUAAUCGGAAUUACUGGGCGUAAAGCGUGCGUAGGCGGUUCGUUAAGUCUGUUGUGAAAGCCCCGGGCUCAACCUGGGAAUGGCAAUGGAUACUGGCGAGCUAGAGUGUGUCAGAGGAUGGUGGAAUUCCCGGUGUAGCGGUGAAAUGCGUAGAGAUCGGGAGGAACAUCAGUGGCGAAGGCGGCCAUCUGGGACAACACUGACGCUGAGGCACGAAAGCGUGGGGAGCAAACAGG